rnacentral:rRNA from 1 species
CAGCCCUAAACGAUGCGCGUUAGGUGUAUCGGUGACCACGAGUCACCGAGGUGCCGAAGGGAAGCCGUGAAACGUGCCGCCUGGGAAGUACGGUCGCAAGGCUGAAACUUAAAGGAAUUGGCGGGGGAGCACCACAACGGGUGGAGCCUGUGGUUUAAUUGGACUCAACGCCGGGAAGCUCACCGGAUAAGACAGCGGAAUGAUUGCCGGGCUGAAGACCCUGCAUGACCAGCUGAGAGGAGGUGCAUGGCGUAGUCGUGU